rnacentral:rRNA from 1 species
UACGUAGGGUGCAAGCGUUAAUCGGAAUUACUGGGCGUAAAGCGUGCGCAGGCGGCUAUGCAAGACAGAUGUGAAAUCCCCAGGCUCAACUUGGGAACUGCGUCUGAUACUGGAUGGCUUGAAUUCGGGAGAGGGAUGCAGAAUUCCAGGUGUAGCGGUGAAAUGCGUAGAUAUCUGGAGGAAUACCGGUGGCGAAGGCGGCAUCCUGGACCGAUAUUGACACUGAUGAGCGAAAGCUAGGGGAGCAAACGGG